UACGGAGGGUGCAAGCGUUAUCCGGAUUCACUGGGUUUAAAGGGUGCGUAGGAGGGUAGGUAAGUCAGUGGUGAAAUCUUCGAGCUUAACUCGGAACUGCCGUUGAUACUAUCUAUCUUGAAUACCGUGGAGGUGAGCGGAAUAUGUCAUGUAGCGGUGAAAUGCUUAGAUAUGACAUAGAACACCAAUUGCGAAGGCAGCUCGCUACACGAAUAUUGACUCUGAGGCACGAAGGCGUGGGGAUCAAACAGG
rnacentral:rRNA from 1 species